rnacentral:lncRNA from 1 species
UUCAUGCCUGUAUGAUAAGAUAGUUAGUGGUCAUGAGAAGUUGAUAGUGCAAGUGAUUCCGUUGAGUGAUGGUCUGGAAUCGUUUCUUGGUUUAGAUUUCGUUAAGUGGUCCAAAGUUGCAUCACUUGACUUGUUGGUUUCUUAGAUUUGAUAUCAGCUUCAGAGAUGUAGGUUUGGCUUAACUGUGUCACUCUAGCCUUAGUUUUAGAAUAUUUGUGAGCAGUGGCUUUGAGAAUCUUGUGAAUUGAAUUAGAAAAGUUGUUGGACAUGUGACUCUUUCAGGAUUUUCUAUGAUUCAAUUAUGAUUUCAUAAAGUAUGAAUUUAGAAGAUAUGGUUAUAGUUGUUAUUAU